GUCAGCUCUCAGCAUCACCUGUUGGAGCAGGCUCGUCAGGAGAUCCGGUCUCUGCAGAGUCGGAUGGAGAAUCUGAAAAGUGUCAAGAUCUGUCUGAACCAGCAGAGAGCGGCUCACAUCCGGCACCUCGCCCAGCGCUCAGGUAAGAGCGAGCAGAGGAUCCUGAGGAAGCUGCAGCACCUGUCGUCCAAUCAGAAGAAGCAUGAGAGGAUCCAAACAGCCAAUCGGAGGACGGC